rnacentral:rRNA from 1 species
GACGAACGCUGGCGGCAUGCCUAAUACAUGCAAGUCGAGCGAACAGUUGAAGUGCUUGCACUUCUGACGUUAGCGGCGAACGGGUGAGUAACACGUAAGGAAUCUACCUAUAAGCGGGGGAUAACAUUCGGAAACGGGUGCUAAUACCGCAUAAUAUCUUCUUCCGCAUGGAAGGAGACUGAAAGACGGCUCUGCUGUCACUUAUAGAUGACCUUGCGGUGCAUUAGUUAGUUGGUGGGGUAACGGCCUACCAAGACGAUGAUGCAUAGCCGACCUGGGAGGGUGAUCGGCCACAUUGGGACUGAGACACGGCCCAAACUCCUACGGGAGGCAGCAGUAGGGAAUCUUCCGCAAUGGGCGAAAGCCUGACGGAGCAAUGCCGCGUGAGUGAAGAAGGCCUUCGGGUCGUAAAACUCUGUUAUAAGAGAAGAACAAAUUGUAGAGUAACUGCUACAGUCUUGACGGUAUCUUAUCAGAAAGCCACGGCUAACUACGUGCCAGCCGCCGCGGUAA